CAAGACUCUGAUUCUUGUCAUAGAGCUCACAGACUUCCUCACUUACCGGCCUUUUUCCUUCCUUUUUUUUUUUUUUUUUUUUAAAUUUCUUCCCUCUUUUUCUGCUCUCUCCUCUCUCAGUUUCUCCUUUCCUGUCUGCCUCGUUUUUUUUUCUCCUGGUCUUCUUUUUUUUCCUGCUCUGCACCUGGAUUGUAUCUUCACCAAACAAUCGGGCACUUUGAGAACUAACUGGAGGCAGUCUUGUAGGGAAGAGCUGUAUGGAAUUAUCUGCUUUUAUGGUGAACUUGGCAUUUGUGAAUGGGUAUCUUGUUCACGAAAUUAAUUGCUAGCAAAAACAAGAAAAAGAACACAGGAGUAAAACGUGGAUUUUUCUGAAUACGCAUUGUGAUGACCAGCAAUUACCUUACCGACUGAUAUCCAGAGGAGAAUAAUUUGGAAGACUGUUGUGGGGGAUUUCAAGAGCUGCUUCAGAGAACUUUAAAACUUUCAAUAAUGUUUUAAAUACCUGGGGAAUAAAAACAAAAACUAAGAGUAACAAUGUUGGAGGAGGAGGCAGUGGAAAGGAACAGAGAAUAGGCGCAAAAGGAAAAAUAAAGACGAUUCCAAAGUGAAGUAAUACAGUACUGUUGCCUCCAACCUUUAUCUUGAAUAUUAAAAGAAUGAGGAUUGAAUAUUUGGG
rnacentral:lncRNA from 1 species